AAGCAUUUAGGAUAAUAUCAAACCAAGGGCCUUCAAAGUCCUAAAUAAGAGCGAAACCUCUUAAUCCUUG
rnacentral:tRNA from 1 species